rfam:Oryza glaberrima chromosome 1 Oglab01_0175_12, whole genome shotgun sequence.
AGGGGGUACAGUUUUAUAUUGUUCUUAUCCAACAUUUGACCGUUUAUCUUAUUUAAUUUUUUUAUAAUUAGUAUUUUUGUUGUUAUUAGAUGAUAAAAUAUGAAUAAUACUUUAUGUGAUUAUUAUUUUUAAUUUCUUCACAAAUUUUUCAAAUAAGACGGACGGUCAAACGAUAUGUAUACCCACGGCUGCACUAAUU